GCACUCUAAAGAGACUGCCGUGGAUAACACGGAGGAAGGUGGGGAUGACGUCAAAUCAUCAUGCCCCUUAUGUCU
rnacentral:tRNA from 1 species